AGGACGAACGCUGGCGGCGUGCUUAACACAUGCAAGUCGAGCGGAAAGGCCCUUCGGGGUACUCGAGCGGCGAACGGGUGAGUAACACGUGAGUAAUCUGCCCUUAGCUCUGGGAUAGCUCCGGGAAACCGGGAUUAAUACCAGAUACGACCACACUAGACAUCUUCCGUGGUGGAAAGAAUUUCGGCUAGGGAUGAACUCGCGGCCUAUCAGCUUGUUGGUGAGGUAACGGCUCACCAAGGCGACGACGGGUAGCCGGCCUGAGAGGGCGACCGGCCACACUGGGACUGAGACACGGCCCAGACUCCUACGGGAGGCAGCAGUGGGGAAUAUUGCGCAAUGGGCGAAAGCCUGACGCAGCGACGCCGCGUGGGGGAGUGAAGGCCUUCGGGUUGUAAACCCCUUUCAGCAGGGACGAAGCGAAAGUGACGGUACCUGCAGAAGAAGCGCCGGCUAACUACGUGCCAGCAGCCGC
rnacentral:rRNA from 1 species